AGAGUUUGAUCCUGGCUCAGGACGAACGCUGGCGGCGUGCCUAACACAUGCAAGUCGAACGGGGCCCGCAAGGGUUCAGUGGCGAACGGGUGCGUAACACGUGAAGAAUUUGUCCAACGGCGGGGGAUAGCCGGCCCAACGGCCGGGUAAUACCGCGUACGAUCACCGAGGGGCAUCCCUUGAUGAUGAAAGCCGCAAGGCGCCGAUGGAGAACUUCGCGGCCUAUCAGCUAGUUGGCGGGGUAAUGGCCCACCAAGGCAACGACGGGUAGCUGGUCCGAGAGGAUGACCAGCCACAUUGGGACUGAGACACGGCCCAGACUCCUACGGGAGGCAGCAGUGGGGAAUAUUGCGCAAUGGGCGAAAGCCUGACGCAGCGACGCCGCGUGUGGGAUGACGGCCUUCGGGUUGUAAACCACUGUCGCGAGGGACGAAGAUCUGACGGUACCUCGAAAGGAAGCACCGGCUAACUCUGUGCCAGCAGCCGCGGUA
rnacentral:rRNA from 1 species